rnacentral:misc_RNA from 1 species
CGCCAGGGAGUCAGGGACGUCGCCAUCACUUAGGCCAGUGGGAGAACAAGUUUACCCCGACAGCAUAAACAGACACCCUUUACCAGUUGUAUACAUAGAGAUACAUGGCCCAAGGAAUGAAAUCUCUUAUAUUUGUACUGUACUCAAUGCUAAGGCAGAUGUCAGCGACUAAUAGCACUCACCCAUAGACGCCUCACACAGCUCAGGUACCAAGGUGUGUGGUGAUGUGAAGACAAGUCAUCAUUUGCUCUGACAAACAACACAGCCAGCAGGUGACCCUUGUGUAUGUAGACAAUCAUGUAUGCAGACUUAAGGGUUACUCUCCCAGGUUUCAAAUCCUUGGUACCAGAUAUCCAUGAUCUUCAAGUUCUGACUAUUUUUGACCUUCUUCAAGGCAGUAUUAACACCAACCGGAUAACCUGUGAUAAACAAGGCCUGUGGAGUUCAGAUGAAUUGAACCGUCUCAGAAUAGAUUUCACACGAGUGGACCGCUUAUACCAUGCCAAAUUUGACCGAGGAGCACCACUUCAGAGUACCAUAGAUGAAGGUAAAGCAACGGCAGCACAGUUGGAGGUCGUAGUGCGCAUGCAUUAUAAUGGUACGUUCAUCUUUGCAGAACUGGUGCUUGACUGUGUUAUUCCUUGUAUGCCGAUAUCUUGGGAAAACAAAGGCACACUGUUUGUCUCUUACAGUGCUAACAUUUUCUUCAACACAAUCCAAACUGUCACAGACAAGAGAUUGUUUUAUGAAUCACUUAUGGAAGACAAUUACAACUUCCCAUGGAUAUAUGAUGACACUUUAAUAUUAAAGGCAGAGCACACAUUUCCCUCCUUGAAGUACCUCUGCAACAAGGCCCUCACUGAAGACAGCAAGAGAGUCGACUACUACGUGAAAGUUUUGCCAAGUGUACUCGGGAAGAGUUUGUCAGACUUUUCCGAUAUUGCCAAAGCGAGACACAUCUACAACAUCAUGGUUUAUCCAGCAGCUCGUCAUUAUCUUGCAUUCGAGGACAAUAAUUUGUACUGGAGUGACGCAAACUCAUAUGAAUCUUUUGAGAAUUUUUUCCGUUGGAUCGGAAUGUGAGUGAGAAAAUGCUGGAUAGGUAUUUCCUCAUUCUAUAAAGGAAUGUUGUUGGGCCAUGCAGUUUAUAAUAUACAGUAACUUGGUAUUUGUAAACUACACAGAAAACUAGAUAGAAUCUUUUCUGUGAAUUAAUAGAUCAUCUCAUAUUUAGUUCAGUCAUACAAAAUUUAGUUUAAUUAACCACUUCACUACAAGGAUGCCACAUUUAAGAUUUUAUUUGGCUAAUGCCAGACAAUUUUAUUCCACUGAGAGACCUUAAUCUAUACACAGAGAUUUAAGAAGUUUUUUGUAAUUACGGAAUACAACAAACACAUAUAUUAUUGCGAAUGUAUUUUAUCUACAGUACUUAUUUUGGCACAUUGUUAUAUAUUAAUAAACUUCAUUUUGUUUUA